rnacentral:rRNA from 1 species
UGCAAGUCGAACGGUAGCGGGAUUAAUUUAUUAAUUGCCGACGAGUGGCGGACGGGUGAGUAGAGCCUGGGAAAUUACCUUAACGAGGGGGAUAACCAUUAGAAAUGGUGGCUAAUACCGCAUAAUAGCUUAGGCUUAAAGGGGGGACCGAUUAUGGCCUUUUGCGUUGAGAUAUGCCCAGGUAAGAUUAGCUAGUUGGUGGGGUAAGGGCUCACCAAGGCGACGAUCUUUAGCUGGUUUGAGAGGACGAACAGCCACACUGGGACUGAGAUACGGCCCAGACUCUUACGGGAGGCAGCAGUGGGGAAUAUUGCACAAUGGGGGGAACCCUGAUGCAGCCAUGCCGCGUGUGUGAAGAAGGCUUUCGGGUUGUAAAGCACUUUCGGUGGAGAGGAAGGGGUGUUUAGUAAUAUUGGGCACUUUUGACGUUAUCUACAGAAGAAGCACCGGCUAACUCCGUGCCAGCAGCCGCGGUAAUACGGAGGGUGCGAGCGUUAAUCGGAAUGACUGGGCGUAAAGGGCGCGUAGGUGGUUAUAUAAGCUAGAUGUGAAAGUCCUGGGCUUAACCUAGGGAGUGCAUAUGGAACUGUAUAGCUAGAGUACAAGAGAGGUUGGUAGAAUUUCAGGUGUAGCGGUGAAAUUCGUAGAUAUUCGGAGGAACAUCAGUGGCGAAGGCGGCACUCUGGCUUAAAACUGACGCUGAGGAACGAAAGCGUGGGUAGCAAACAGGAUUAGAUACCCUGGUAGUCCACGCCCUAAACGAUGUCAACUAGCCGUUGGAUCCAUUUAAGGAUUUAGUGGUGCAGCUAACGCAUUAAGUUGACCGCCUGGGGAGUACGCACGCAAGUGUAAAACUCAAAGGAAUUGACGGGGGCCCGCACAAGCGGUGGAGCAUGUGGUUUAAUUCGAUGCAACGCGAAGAACCUUACCAUCCCUUGACAUCCAGUGAAAUCAGCAGAGAUGCAGACGUGCCUUCGGGAACGCUGUGACAGGUGCUGCACGGCUGUCGUCAGCUCGUGUCGUGAGAUGUUGGGUUAAGUCCCGCAACGAGCGCAACCCCUAUCCUUAGUUGCCAGCACGUAAAGGUGGGAACUCUAAGGAGACUGCCGGUGAUAAACCGGAGGAAGGUGGGGACGACGUCAAGUCAUCAUGGCCCUUAUGGGAUGGGCUACACACGUGCUACAAUGGUCGGUACAGAGGGCAGCGAACUCGCGAGAGUCAGCGAAUCCCAGAAAGCCGAUCGUAGUCCGGAUUGGAGUCUGCAACUCGACUCCAUGAAGUUGGAAUCGCUAGUAAUCGCGAAUCAGAAUGUCGCGGUGAAUACGUUCCCGGGCCUUGUACACACCGCCCGUCACACCAUGGGAGUGGGCUGCACCAGAAGUGGCUAGGCAAACCUUUCGGGGAAGCCGGUUACCACGG